GAGAAAGAAAAAGAGAGAAAGAAAAAGAGAGAAAGAAAAAGAGAAAGAGAAGGGAAAAGAGAAGGACAAAAGCAGCGACAGUGAGGAAGAAGAAAGAGACAACAGCAAUUCAAUUAUGUUGAAUGUGUUUAUUCCUAUUCUUU
rnacentral:ribozyme from 1 species